rnacentral:rRNA from 1 species
UCAGUUCGGAUUGAAGGCUGAAAUUCGCCUUCAUGAAGCCGGAAUUGCUAGUAAUGGCAGGUCAGCAUACUGCCGUGAAUACGUUCCCGGGCCUUGUACACACCGCCCGUCACACCAUGAGAGUUGGGAAUACCCGAAGCCUGUGAGCUAACGAAAGAGGCAGCAGUCGAAGGUAGAAUCAAUGAUUGGGGUGAAGUCGUAACAAGGUAAC